AGAAUCAACGCUGGCGGCGUGCCUAACACAUGCAAGUCGAACGAGAAAGGGUAGCAAUACCUGAGUAAAGUGGCGCACGGGUGAGUAACACGUGACUAACCUACCUUUUAGUGGGGGAUAACCUAGGGAAACCUGGGCUAAUACCGCAUAAUACCUACGGGUCAAAGCAGCAAUGCGCUGAAAGAGGGGGUCGCGGUCGAUUAGUUAGUUGGCAGGGUAAUGGCCUACCAAGACUGUGAUCGAUAUCCGGCCUGAGAGGGCGCACGGACACACUGGAACUGAAACACGGUCCAGACUCCUACGGGAGGCAGCAGUGGGGAAUUUUGCGCAAUGGGGGAAACCCUGACGCAGCAACGCCGCGUGGAGGAUGAAGUCCCUUGGGACGUAAACUCCUUUCGAUCGGGACGAUAAUGACGGUACCGGAAGAAGAAGCCCCGGCUAACUUCGUGCCAGCAGCCGC
rnacentral:rRNA from 1 species